rnacentral:lncRNA from 1 species
GUGAGAGAGCACCUGGCAGAGGGGAGGGCUGAAACAAGCCAGGGCCUGAAUGGAAACGGGCCCCUGGGCCAUUCAGGUGGCUGCAGCCUGAGGGAGGUCCGAGGCUGGGCAGGGGAGCACACAUACCGAGUUAGGAUAUCCCGGGCCAUUUGCUGCAUUCCAGUUGUUUCAGUGUGGCGCGCAGUUGAGUUGUCCUAGCAGGAAAUGCGUGGCUCUCUCGUGCCCUUCUUUGUGUCCAGGGCCUGAGCUUCUCCUCUGGGCCCUCCCUGAGGGCUAAAGGUGGCUCAGAGAUGGUGUCUCUCCUCCUGAGAAGCUUGAGUGGAUGAGGAGGGAGGCUGUUUCCUCUCCUGAGUAAGUCCUGGCUCCCCGAAGUGGCAAUGCCAAGUGCCAGCCCCGCAGUGCCGGGCAGUGGGAGAUGCAUGGACAGGCCCUAGGGCUCAGUCUCCCCUCUUGACGCUCCGGUACCCUGCUCAGCACACGGUUCCUAAUCCCUUAAUAAACCUCUCCUUAUCCUGCACCCCAGGAAGGCUUCAGGUUCAUGGCAAUGCAGAAAUAAUGAUUUGCCUGUAUUCACUGAUAUGAUUGAACUAACAAUAAGUUCACCCUUUCUGCAAGUCAGGAACUUGGGUCUGGAACGGAGCCGGUCUCCAGUUGCAGGACAGAUACCUUUCUGAGUGUAGCCAGGAGGUCUGUGUGAGGAGGGGGUUUUUGGUCCCUGUGUGGGUCUUCCUCGGACACCCCCAUCCCUGAAGGGAACCUACACCCUUCCAGGUGUGAAGUAAUGAAAGACCAGUAGUCAUUCAGCUCUAGCUGCAAAUGCCUGCUCUCUCACCUCUAAGCUGUGUAUCCUCGGGCAAGUCACCUGGCCUCUCUGUGCUUUCUGAGACUGUCCACUCAUGCCGCUAUCAAAGGGGUGAGAGAACUGAGAUUAAACUAGGGGAGGAGGCCGGGCAUGGUGGCUCACACCUGUAAUCCCAGCACUUUGGGAGGCCGGGGCAGAUGGAUCACCUGAGGUCAGGUGUUUAAGAGCAGCGUGGCCAACAUGGGGAAACCCCGUCUCUACUAAAAAUACAAAAAUUAGCCAGGUGUGGUGGCAGAUGUCUGUAGUCCCAGCUCCUCGGGAGGCUGAAGCAGGAGAAUCACUUGAACCUGGGAGGUGGAGGUUGCGUGAGCCAAGAUCAUGCCACUGCGCUGCAGCCUGGGUGACAGAGGGAGACUCUGUCUCAGGAAAAAAAAAAAAAACAAAAAAAACGAGGGGAGGUGCUGCUGGAAGUGCAGGGCCUAGAACAGAGGAUUACUUGGAAAAUUUUUGUUGACUCUGAAUCCUAAGACACUCUUCCACCUGGGAAUGAGAAUAGAUAGAUCAAUGAGAAGCGUGGGUUAUUGGCCGAUCAGAAGUGCCAGCUGUAGACGUUGGUUCAUCCACAUCAGGGUGAAAAUGAAAAUGCACUCUUGUCCCUUUCCCCUCUUUUUAAAAAGUUUCCCUACAACCCUCCAUAACUGUGGUGGAAAGAGUAUACAGCGAGGACGUAGGGACAUUUAGCUAGAAGCAUCCCAACCAGCCUCCUGCCUGAUAAUAACAACAAGAGCUAACAUUUAUGAUUGUUAUAAUAAACACUAACAUUGGUUAUGGCUGGGUACUGUGUAAGGUGUUCUCCCAGCAGCACCCCAUCCAUGCUCACACCAAUCCCCUGACCUGCGCCCUGGAUUCAUCCCUAUCUGGCAUAGAACGGAACUUUCUAGGAAACAGAGCUUGCCUGGCCACAUCAGCUCAGUAAAUGGCAGAGUUGAGACACAAACCCAGGCUGCCUCCCCCAAAACCCAAACCCACCAAAUUAGAUUGUCUUCCAAAUGCAGAAAUCCUCUCUGCAGCCCAACUUGGCCCAAUUCUCUAGGUUUUGGGAGAAAUACAUUUCCUCUCUUCCCGUAGCCUAAUUCGAAAACGAGGCAUCUUUCACUUCACAUUUCACAGCCGCAAUUCUUUCUUGCACAUAAAAUCUAUCCAUCCCGCUGGCCCCCUUCCCUCUUCUGGGCACAUUACAGGCUGUUGGCGUGUGUGUCUAAAUAAACACCCAUCAGCCUGGAUCCUUGCAGGCUGAUUCUAAACAUUUGGCUCCGAAGGGUAGCACUGGGGGCUUGUAAACCCUUCACCUUUCUCCCAGCACACUUCAAACAUUCCCCUUCUUGCAUCUAGGAAAACCAGAGCGGUUGGUUUCUCUCUCUACUCUUACACAGAACUUUGUGAAAACCUCUGUUAGACUGAAAUAACCUUCUUUAUUUCUGUCUUGCUCCUCAAGCUGAGAGUGUUUCUAGGUCAGGGUGGAGGGCCUGACAUUUACUGUCUCCUUGGUACUAGGCUCUGUGCCACACAUUACACACCUUGAUUUAUUCUUUUUAACAGGACCACGUGAAGUAUUAAUGGUCCCCCUUCACAAGUGAGGAACAAGAGGCUGAAAGGAGAGGCACAUUUUCUCAGAUAACGUGGCCACUUUGAGGCAGAGCUGAGAUUUCUGGCCCCCCCCUCACUGUGCUAGGGAGACCCUGUUCUAUUUAGCCCCAUCCGCCUGGAACCUCCAAAGGGCCUGGCACAGCUUUCCAGCAAAUGUUUGUUGACUGACCAACUGACUGACUGAAUAAAAGAAUGAAUGAGCAAGUGUCUAAUUUCCAGAAGAACUGUGGAGUGGGAGCUGUAAAGUGGUCCAGGUGCCUUGCUUAGAAGCACAAACUAGGCUGGAAGAAAACUAGCUAAUAGAGUUGCGGUCAGACAUGGAUUACACUUUUCCAAGCAUUGGAAUAUGGCAAUAUUAAUCAUGUUUCUACAAAUCGUCUUUUAUUUCUUCUUCUUUUUUUUGAGACGGGGUCUCACUGGAGUGCAGUGGUGUGAUCUUGGCUCACUGCAACCUCCGCCUCCUGGUUCAAGUGAUCCUCCCGCUUUAGCCUCUUGAGUAGCUGGGAUUACAGGUACAUGCCACCACGCCUGGCUAAUUUUUGUAUUUUCUGUAGACAUGAUGUCUCACUAUGUUGCCCAGGCUGGUCUCGAACUCCUGGACUCAAGCGAUCCGCCCGCCUCAGCCUCUCAAAGUGCCGGGAUUACAGGCAUGAGCCACCACGCCCAGCCCACCUUUUGUUUCUUCUCAUUCUGCAUAUGUGGAAUUUGCUGCAUCUGACAGACAACUGGGGAUUCUUUGAGCUGAAAGAGCUUCGUGAAGCUGCGGUAUCCAGCUCCCUGGCUGGACAGACGAGGAGGCCAAGGAGCAAAAAGAAGAGGUGACCUGUAGACUAUAUGAUCACCAGGCAAGCAAGGGGCGGGGCCCAACUCAUAGUCCUGCGCUCAUUUAGGGGUACAAGAGCCUUCAAGCUCCUUUAGUCAUUCAGCUUAUUUAUUUAUUCUAUUAAACACAACUAUAUUCUUAAUGUAUAUUAUUCAAGCCAUACAUAAUUAGUGGGAGCAAAAGGUGAAGUGUCCACUACUCUCCUCUCGAUGCCACUUCUGUUCUCGAUGCCACUUGACUACCGCAAUGAGACACCUGAAGCAAGAGGCAGAUGUGAUUGAGUUAAGGCUCUUGAGAUGGGGGAAUUAUUCUAGAUGCUCAGGUGGGCCCCAAAAUGUAAUCACCCGUGUCCUUAUCAGAAGGAGGCAGGGGUGGAUUUAACACUCUCACCCCUUUUGCUCAGCAUUUUAUAAACCUAUGUGUAUUUGCACAAAAGUAGGUUGGUGUUCUUUUCAUAGACAAGAUCAUACUGUACAUAUUGCUCUGCAAAUCGCUGUUUUUUUUGUUUUUCUCUCCUUUAACAUCUCAGAAAUCUUUCCACGCUGGUGUACUGACACACACACACUAUACAUAUACACACACACACUAUACAUAUAUACACACACUAUAAAUAUAUACACACACACUAUACAUAUAUACACACACACUAUACAUAUAUACACACACUAUACAUAUAUACACACACACAUACAUACAUACACACACACAUUGUAUAUAGAUCGUCCUCUUUCAUUUUAAUGCUUACAUAGUAUUCCACAAUAGUAAUAAACAUCAUUUAUUUACACUUCUCCAUUAUGAACAUUUAGCUCACUCCCACUUUUUUGAUACUAUUAAUACAAUCAGUGUUUCCAUGAAUACCAUAUACAAGCUAUUUGCAUGGAUGUUUGAGAAAGUCUCUAAGAUAGAUGCUGGGGAAUGAAUUUGCUGGAUCAAAGGGUAUGUGCAGUUUAAAUUUUAAUACGUGCUGCCCAAUUAUUCUCUAAAAGGACUGAAGUAAUUCACAUUCCCACCAGCAGUGUUAGAGGCUUUUCUAGGUAGGCAGACAACUUUGCUGAUGAUUUUAUAUCAAGGACUUCACUUUAAAAGAUUAUAUUUAGACACUAUCACGGGAUCUUUUAAAAACAAACCCUUAAAAUAUUAUGCAAUCAUCA